UACAGAGGUCCCGAGCGUUGUUCGGAUUCACUGGGCGUAAAGGGUGCGCAGGUGGGUUUGCAAGUUUGAUGUGAAAGCCCCGGGCUUAACCCGGGAAUGGCAUUGAAUACUGCAGAUCUGGAGGAUUGGAGGGGGACUGGAAUUCUUGGUGUAGCAGUGAAAUGCGUAGAUAUCAAGAGGAACACCAGUGGCGAAGGCGAGUCCCUGGACAAUACCUGACACUGAGGCACGAAAGCCAAGGGAGCAAACAGG
rnacentral:rRNA from 1 species